GAGGCCGUUUCCUGGCAUCCAGGUGCCCCAAGAGCCUGUUCCCCUCCCGCAAACAUCCACGGGGGUUAGAAUCUCACUUUCAUGCCCAUGAUCUCUCCCUCCUCCACUAACUCCUGUGCUAAUGACUACCCUCACCCGCUAUUUUACCCUCCCUGAACCCAAAGGAUCUCAAAGUUGCUAAUGCUGGAGAAGACACAGAUCAGCAAGGGAAGAUGGAAAGUGUGGAGGGAGGGGGAAUGGGGAGUUAGGUUUUG
rnacentral:lncRNA from 1 species